ensembl:lncRNA TXLNGY taxilin gamma Y-linked (pseudogene)
UUUCCUUCUCAGUCACAGGACCGGAUGGCAAGUGGCCGCAGCCAGUCGGUGAGACCGACUGAGCUCUGGGGCUUCAGUUCUUGACGCUACCUACAUGGCUACAUCUCCAGCCAAGGAUGAGAGUUUGUGAAUAGCACAAUGGAAGAAGCUGGACUUUGUGGGUUAAGAGAGAAAGCAGAUAUGUUGUGUAACUCUGAAUCACAUGAUAUUCUUCAACAUCAAGACUCAAAUUGCAGUGCCACAAGUAAUAAACAUUUAUUGGAAGAUGAAGAAGGCCGUGACUUUAUAACAAAGAACAGGAGUUGGGUGAGCCCAGUGCACUGCACACAAGAGUCAAGAAGGGAGCUUCCUGAGCAAGAAGUAGCCCCUCCGUCUGGUCAGCAAGCUUUACAAUGCAACAGGAACAAAGAAAAAGUCUUAGGUAAUAAUCUCUGCUCUGUGGUUGGAUGUUGUCACAUACUGGUCUUUUUGUUUUACAUUUUCUGCAGCAUGAGUGAUUAUGAACUUGGCCUGUUUGGAGGUAAAUGUUGCCUGGUAAACUUGUUUCUUCACUUGGUUUAGUCCACCUAUCAUCUCCAGUUAUGUGUAGGGAACAAAAAUAGCAAAAUACGAAGCCCAGUUAUAAGAAACUUAAUUAUUUCUCUGUGUAACAAGAACUGAAGUUUUAAGAAAGUUUGAGGCCAAUAUGAUGUAAUUAGUAUUUGAUUUACCUUGCUUUUUGUACCUUUGAAAAUAACCUAAUAGUAUGAAAACAAUAUGUAUGCUAAUUUUGCUUAAAAGAUUAUACACUGAAAUUUAGAGAGGAUAUAAUGUUAUCUGUAGUGUAGAAAGAGUUAAAUAAGACUGAUUUUUAGAAUUUGUUUUAUCCCUUCCACUCUUAGCUUGACAAUUAGGAUUAAGAAUAUGAUAUGUCAAAUUUCAUGACUGAAAUCUGAAAUGCCUUAAUAGUUGCCCUCAGUGUUUCAUCCUUAUACUAACAUUUACAUUGAUAUAUAUGACUUAUAUGUGACACUGAAACUUGGAAUUUUUAUUCUUAAUCCAUUUUCUGUUACCCUGGAAGACAAAAAAAAAAGUAUGGUAAUAUAUAAAGUAAUUGUAAUUCCUUGAAAAUAAGACAGAUAUCUUCAAAAUUGAUAGCCCCAAUUAUAUGUGUAAAAUAUAGCUUGAGGUUAAAAUUAUUUAAAAAGUUUUAAAUGAAAAUCUUUAUGAAAAUGUCAGUUAUAUUAUAGUUGUUUCUUACACAUACACAUUCAAUAACAAUAUUUAUUUAUUCUUUUUUCUAGAGAGACAAGGUCUUUCCCUGUCACCCAGGCUGGAGCGCGGUGGUACAUUCAUGGGUCAUGGCAGCCUUAAACUCCCUGAGCUCGUGAUCCUGUCUCUUCAGACUCUAGAGUAGCUGGGGCUACAGGCGUACACCACCACACAUGGCUAAUUUUUUAUUUUUCUUUUGUUGUAGAGAUGGGCUGUCAUUCUCUUGCCCAGGCUGGUCUUGGUAUACUGUCCUGUAGCAGUAUAUUUUGGCUACCUGUACUGGCAUUGGCUUUUCCAAGUGUCAAGAUUACAGGUGUGAGCUAGUAUACCCUGCCCAGUGUUUCUUUCUUACUUGGCUUUGGUGUGAAUGAGAAAAGAAUUUAGUACUAAAAUUUUAUGUGCAUACAGAAGCAUUAUUUGAAGUCAGCCUGUUUUCCCUCAACCUCUAGUACUCUGUAAAGUAUACCAAAAGUCAAGGUUUUAAAGAACUGUGUUACAUAUUAGAGAGAACAAAUCAAAAGUUACCUAUCUCCAUCGUUACCAGUAGAACAUUAGUAUGUAUUUUGAAGCACCAUUUGACUCUUUCUAUUUCAGCUACUUGCUUGUCCCUUGCAAAGUUAUUAUAGUACUCUUUUAAAACUUUUCUUCAAGGGAAGAGCUAUUUUGACUUCCUUUUCUUUGAUCUAAACCUAACACCCAGAAUAUGCUUAGCAGAUCAUCCCAAAACAAUCAUAACUUGUUUAAAUUGUUCAUAGCAAAAGUUACAUAUUAUAAAGAGUUAUGAGUGUCUUAGGCAGUGAAUAGUAACUGAAUAUCCUUUUAUAGUUGUCCUUCACUAGCAGGAAGCCUUAUUCCCUGCCCUUUUACAUAUCUUAACUUAGAAUGUUACUGUCUAAAUAGUGGUUAGGCAAGAGUAGUUCUUAAACGUGCAGUAAUUAUCUUGCACUACAUUUAAGGGCUAAAUAGCUAGUAGUGGUGCUUGAUAAUUGAAGAAAUUUGUACAGCUGGAGGAAGUACCUGCUAAAUUUUCAAAAGUUACCUGAAUUUAAUAGGUAAAUCUGUUUUUAAUUAGAGCUAUAUCAUUUUACUCUGAAUGUCUUAACAUAGAAGUUUACAUAAAAUUUACAGAUUGGAUUGAUUUCAGCCUUCUUCUGGUACUUUUUAAAAUCUUAUUAAUCAUUAGGAAAAGAAGUUUUAUUAUUGAUGCAAGCCCUAAACACUCUUUCGACUCCAGAGGAGAAGCUGGCAGCUCUCUGUAAGAAAUAUGCUGAUCUUGUGAGUAUUUAUUUAAUGGAGCAAGGAACACAGAAAAUAAAAUCUAUGUGUGCUUGAUAAGAUUUUUAAAUAUUAUUUUGAUGUAACUUUAAAUGUAAAAUGAUAUUUUAUCUCAAAAUUGAAAACAAUCUCCUUUCUUUAGUACUUAUGAUUGGUGUGUGUGACUUCAUCUUAUGAAAUGAUGUAUAGAACAUAAUAAUACUUUUUUAAAUGUGAAAUAAAUUUCCUAAAACUU